rnacentral:rRNA from 1 species
ACGGGAGGCAGCAGUGAGGAAUAUUGGUCAAUGGGCGGAAGCCUGAACCAGCCAAGUCGCGUGAAGGAUGAAGGUAUUAUGUAUUGUAAACUUCUUUAGCUGUGGAGCAAUAAUCGCCAUGCAUGGCGAGAUGAGAGUACACAGAGAAUAAGGAUCGGCUAACUCCGUGCCAGCAGCCGCGGUAAUACGGAGGAUCCGAGCGUUAUCCGGAUUUAUUGGGUUUAAAGGGAGCGUAGGCGGCCUUUUAAGUCAGCGGUCAAAUGUCAGCGCCCAACGCUGGCCUGCCGUUGAUACUGAUGGGCUUGAAUACACACAAGGAAGGUGGAAUUCGUCGUGUAGCGGUGAAAUGCUUAGAUAUGACGAAGAACUCCGAUUGCGAAGGCAGCCUUCUGGAGUGCGAUUGACGCUGAGGCUCGAAAGCGCGGGUAUCAAACAGGAUUAGAUACCCUGGUA